rnacentral:rRNA from 1 species
GACGAACCUUGCUAACGUUAUUCGGAAUUACUGGGCUUAAAGGGUGCGUAGGCGGUGCAGCAAGUCGGGUGUGAAAGCCCUCAGCUCAACUGAGGAAUUGCGCCCGAAACUGCUGUGCUUGAGGAAUACAGAGGUAUGCGGAACUUAGGGUGGAGCGGUGAAAUGCGUAGAGAUGUGGAGGAACACCAGUGGCGAAGGCGACUCUUUGGCCUGUAACUGACGCUGAGGCGCGAAAGCGUGGGGAGCAAACAGG